rnacentral:rRNA from 1 species
UACGGAGGAUGCAAGCGUUAUCCGGAUUUAUUGGGUUUAAAGGGUGCGCAGGUUGUUUGAUAAGUCAGUGGUGAAAGUCUGUCGCUUAACGGUAGGAUUGCCAUUGAUACUGUUAGACUUGAAUAUGGAUGAGGUAGGCGGAAUGUGUAGUGUAGCGGUGAAAUGCAUAGAUAUUACACAGAACACCGAUUGCGAAGGCAGCUUACUAAUCCAUCAUUGACGCUGAGGCACGAAAGCGUGGGGAUUAAACAGGA